rnacentral:SRP_RNA from 1 species
CCGCACUAGUCGGGGAGUUAGCGGUGCCCUGUACCUGCAACCCGCUACAGCAGGGAUGAAUCCCGGCCCCCGGAACCGCGCUGUGCCGUCUGACCCCGGUAAGCAGUGAUGAUGGAUCGGUCCCGCGCAAGGUCGCCCCGUGAACCGUGUCAGGCGGGGAACCGAGCAGCACUAAGCGGAACGUGAUCUGUGCCGUGGGGUGCCCGCUCCUGAGCCGGCUGCCGGGGUAACGGGCAUAGCGAGGAUUCCAAAGGCCGGUGUGCGG